rnacentral:lncRNA from 1 species
GAAGACCUACAACCCAAGGAUGGAAGGCCCCUGUCACAAAGCCUACCUAGAUGGAUAGAGGACCCAAGCGAAAAAGUUUCUGGCAUCACUACCACUACUGAUUAAACAAGAAUAAGAGAACAUUUUAUCAUCAUCUGCUUUAUUCACAUAAAUGAAGUUGUGAUGAAUAAAUCUGCUUUUAUGCAGACACAAGGAAUUAAGUGGCUUCGUCAUUGUCCUUCUACCUCAAAGAUAAUUUAUUCCAAAAGCUAAGAUAAAUGGAAGACUCUUGAACUUGUGAACUGAUGUGAAAUGCAGAAUCUCUUUUGAGUCUUUGCUGUUUGGAAGAUUGAAAAAUAUUGUUCAGCAUGGGUGACCACCAGAAAGUAAUCUUAAGCCAUCUAGAUGUCACAAUUGAAACAAACUGGGGAGUUGGUUGCUAUUGUAAAAUAAAAUAUACUGUUUUGAAAACUU